rnacentral:rRNA from 1 species
CCUACGGGUGGCAGCAGUGGGGAAUAUUGGACAAUGGGCGAAAGCCUGAUCCAGCCAUGCCGCGUGUGAAGAAGGCCUUCGGGUUGUAAAGCACUUUCAGUGGGGAAGAAAGCCUUGGGGCUAAUACCCUCGAGGAAGGACAUCACCCACAGAAGAAGCACCGGCUAACUCCGUGCCAGCAGCCGCGGUAAUACGGAGGGUGCGAGCGUUAAUCGGAAUUACUGGGCGUAAAGCGCGCGUAGGCGGUCUGAUAAGCCGGUUGUGAAAGCCCCGGGCUCAACCUGGGAACGGCAUCCGGAACUGUCAGGCUAGAGUGCAGGAGAGGAAGGUAGAAUUCCCGGUGUAGCGGUGAAAUGCGUAGAGAUCGGGAGGAAUACCAGUGGCGAAGGCGGCCUUCUGGACUGACACUGACGCUGAGGUGCGAAAGCGUGGGUAGCAAACAGGAUUAGAUACCCUUGUAGUC